rnacentral:lncRNA from 9 species
GUUUCUGGAUGAGCUAACGAGAGUUCCAAUAGCACGCCUGUAAUUCAUGGUACUGGCAAAAGCAAAGCGUUAUUGGCACGUGAACAAUCGGCGAUAAGAUGGAUCUGAGCGGUGUUCACAUACAACUACUCAAGGAUGCAGCCAGCAAAAUCCGUGAAGAUGAACUUGGCUGAUCAUUGAUGCUGUGAAAAAAGAAAAUCUUUGGGAAGCAGGACACACUGUACUGUCCAGACCACAGAGGUGGGGGAGGCAACUUGCGUAGCAGGUUCAGGAAACCAGUCACUGUGUCUGACCUCGAGGGUGGAAACAGCCUCUGAAAGCCGGGCCUGCAGGGGUUUACAAGUCUCGCUUCUUCCUUUGCGGCCCAUAAUUCUUCCUGGAACUCGGCGUGCUGAGCCAGGAGGGGAGGUUCUCAGGCUGACACUCCGGGUUGAUUCUCAGCUUUACUGGGUGAGCUUGGCUAAUUCACAUGGUAAACCUGAC